rnacentral:rRNA from 1 species
AUAGCAUAGUGGAUACACCUGUUCCCAUACCGAACACAGAAGUUAAGCACUAUUACGCUGAUGAUAGUUGGGUUUUUACCCCGCAAAAGUAGGUCGUUGCCA